CUCUGCUGCCCCAGGAAUGGGCUGAUUUCCUGAGUACACAUUAAUCUGAGCUCCCUCAGCCCUAGGGGUAGGGGGAUUGGGGGCACAAGAUGGGUGGAGCCAGAUAGGGAAGAUUCCCCCAGUGUUGUCCUGCUCCCAGUCCAGGUUUGGGACAAUGCCGGCAGCGUUUCCCUGUGUCUUUCCCCCACAAAGUCUCCAAGUCUUUCCUCAAAUGAUCGUCAAGGUUUGGGAGAAACAAUCUCUUCCUCUGCCCGGGUUGCGUGGAUCUCCAGUGGAAAGGAAGAACCGGAACUAUGGUUUGUGCCUGCCUUAUUGCCUCCAAAAUAUUUUUAACUGCAGAGAUACUGCAUGACAUUGAAACAGCCGGUGUAUUAACUAAUGUAUAUGACAGUCCACCUCUGUAUGAUGAUGUGAAAGUGCAAUUUUUCUCUUCAGCUUUAUCUACCAAGAAAUGAAUUGGAUAAUCCACAUAAACAAAAAGCUUGGAAAAUUUAUCCACCAGAAUUUGCCGUGGAGAUACUUUUUGGUAAGAAAUGACUUCCAGUGAUGUUGUAGCUGGAUCCGAUUAAGUACAGCUCCCCCUUCCCCUUCUGGGAAAGAAUUAUGUUCUUUCCAACCUUGCCACAUAUUCAUAUAUCCUAAAUCUUCCUUGAUGAUAUAUUUAUAUAUGUUUAUAUAUGUUCUUCAUAAGUCUACUAAAUAUAUAUAGAUAAAAUGUCA
rnacentral:lncRNA from 1 species